GAGCUCCAGCAGGGGAGGCUUCACUGCAUCAGCGACAGCCCAAGAGCACUGACGUUGAUAUACUGAAGAGCAACAUUGAGCAGUGUGAGAUGGAGCACCACCAGAGAGAGGCCAAAUGCAAACCGGAAAUAGAGCAGAGCACCAAAGACACAGACAGCCUCACCAGGAGCAACUAGGAGAAGCCGGAUAAUGGUAACUAUCAGCCCUAAUUUGCUUGCAUUGUAAAAAACAGGAGUCCAAUUUUUACAUUUGCACAUUUUUUAUUGUCCUCAAUUAUGAUUUCAGAGCCAGGCUCCAGCAGCACGGUGGCGACGUCUGUGCGCAAUGAGGACGGUCCCACUGAUCCAGACCCCGAACGGAGACAGCUGAGCACUGAGGGCGAGCGAGUACCAGCUUCCCGUACUGCAAGGGCCAUUAUCACUGCGGAGGUCCUAGAAAGACAAACGGAGAUUUGCCGUUUAUUGGCGGCAGUUGUGACCUCACUUGAGGCAAUCAACGAAACUUGACAGAGA